AUUGAACGCUGGCGGCAGGCUUAACACAUGCAAGUCGAGCGGAGAUGAGGUGCUUGCACCUUAUCUUAGCGGCGGACGGGUGAGUAAUGCUUAGGAAUCUGCCUAUUAGUGGGGGACAACAUUCCGAAAGGAAUGCUAAUACCGCAUACGUCCUACGGGAGAAAGCAGGGGAUCUUCGGACCUUGCGCUAAUAGAUGAGCCUAAGUCGGAUUAGCUAGUUGGUGGGGUAAAGGCCUACCAAGGCGACGAUCUGUAGCGGGUCUGAGAGGAUGAUCCGCCAAACUGGGACUGAGACACGGCCCAGACUCCUACGGGAGGCAGCAGUGUGGAAUAUUGGACAAUGGGCGCAAGCCUGAUCCAGCCAUGCCGCGUGUGUGAAGAAGGCCUUAUGGUUGUAAAGCACUUUAAGCGAGGAGGAGGCUACUUUAGAUAAUACCUAGAGAUAGUGGACGUUACUCGCAGAAUAAGCACCGGCUAACUCUGUGCCAGCAGCCGCGGUAACAC
rnacentral:rRNA from 1 species